UGGUUAGCUCAGUUGAAAGAGCGCUCCACUGGAAAUGGAGAGGUUCCUGGUUUGAUACCGGGACCA
rnacentral:tRNA from 1 species